rnacentral:lncRNA from 1 species
UGUACGCUCUGAAGAGAAAUGAAAGUUGCAUACUUUACUGCGUGGAGAAACGUGUGGAAUGAAACAAACCAAAACCGGGCCUGCGUCCCCCACCACGGGCACCCGCACGAACUGCGCAGCAGGCACGCUCAACCGCAGCCGCAACUCCAACAGCAGGCCAACGUUCCCGCACCGCACCACGGCAAGCCCGGCCUGUUGGCAAGACUCGGUCAAUUUCCCAUUUGGGAGUAGUCGAGGUGUAGCCCCCUGCCCUCUGAGCCCACUAUACUUACGCUGGCUGGACAGCAACCACGGGCCGCUCCGUCCACACCAGCAGCCUGCAAGUGCCGCCUUCUGCCGGCCGCAAACUGGAACACUUCGCUGAAGUUUCAAUGGCGAAAGCCAGGAAGGCUACAAGUAACCUCAUUUGUUAUAUCUAGCAG